rnacentral:rRNA from 1 species
CGACGAACUUCCGUUAAUUGAUUAUGACGUACUUGUACUGAUUGAGAUUUUAACACGAAGUGAGUGGCGAACGGGUGAGUAACACGUGGGUAACCUGCCCAGAAGUAGGGGAUAACACCUGGAAACAGAUGCUAAUACCGUAUAACAGAGAAAACCGCAUGGUUUUCUUUUAAAAGAUGGCUCUGCUAUCACUUCUGGAUGGACCCGCGGCGUAUUAGCUAGUUGGUGAGGUAAAGGCUCACCAAGGCAGUGAUACGUAGCCGACCUGAGAGGGUAAUCGGCCACAUUGGGACUGAGACACGGCCCAGACUCCUACGGGAGGCAGCAGUAGGGAAUCUUCCACAAUGGACGCAAGUCUGAUGGAGCAACGCCGCGUGAGUGAAGAAGGGUUUCGGCUCGUAAAGCUCUGUUGUUAAAGAAGAACGUGGGUAAGAGUAACUGUUUACCCAGUGACGGUAUUUAACCAGAAAGCCACGGCUAACUACGUGCCAGCAGCCGCGGUAAUACGUAGGUGGCAAGCGUUAUCCGGAUUUAUUGGGCGUAAAGCGAGCGCAGGCGGUCUUUUAAGUCUAAUGUGAAAGCCUUCGGCUCAACCGAAGAAGUGCAUUGGAAACUGGGAGACUUGAGUGCAGAAGAGGACAGUGGAACUCCAUGUGUAGCGGUGAAAUGCGUAGAUAUAUGGAAGAACACCAGUGGCGAAGGCGGCUGUCUGGUCUGCAACUGACGCUGAGGCUCGAAAGCAUGGGUAGCGAACAGGAUUAGAUACCCUGGUAGUCCAUGCCGUAAACGAUGAUUACUAAGUGUUGGAGGGUUUCCGCCCUUCAGUGCUGCAGCUAACGCAUUAAGUAAUCCGCCUGGGGAGUACGACCGCAAGGUUGAAACUCAAAAGAAUUGACGGGGGCCCGCACAAGCGGUGGAGCAUGUGGUUUAAUUCGAAGCUACGCGAAGAACCUUACCAGGUCUUGACAUCUUCUGACAGUCUAAGAGAUUAGAGGUUCCCUUCGGGGACAGAAUGACAGGUGGUGCAUGGUUGUCGUCAGCUCGUGUCGUGAGAUGUUGGGUUAAGUCCCGCAACGAGCGCAACCCUUAUUACUAGUUGCCAGCAUUAAGUUGGGCACUCUAGUGAGACUGCCGGUGACAAACCGGAGGAAGGUGGGGACGACGUCAAAUCAUCAUGCCCCUUAUGACCUGGGCUACACACGUGCUACAAUGGAUGGUACAACGAGUCGCGAGACCGCGAGGUUAAGCUAAUCUCUUAAAACCAUUCUCAGUUCGGACUGUAGGCUGCAACUCGCCUACACGAAGUCGGAAUCGCUAGUAAUCGCGGAUCAGCAUGCCGCGGUGAAUACGUUCCCGGGCCUUGUACACACCGCCCGUCACACCAUGAGAGUUUGUAACAC